UUCCUAAUCGGGGUCCUUACCCUUACAACCAACCCAAGCGUAAUACAAUUCAGUUCACUCAUACACAGAUAGAGGCCAUCCGUGCUGGAAUGCAGCCUGGGCUGACUAUGGUAAGAGCAUUAUUGUUACACGUGUUUUUACAUGGAUUCAGACUAGAAGUGAGCGUCGGAUUUUUACAGUGUCUUCUAUUUGAAGCACAAAAGCCAAACUGAAUUAAGUGUUUCUAAGUGCUUGUGACAUCUUACGCAUAUGGAGAUCUUGCUACUCAUUUCAGUGUUCAUAAAUAAAGUUUUAUUAGACCAUC